GGUGGCUGCCGGGCUGCCACCAAGCCGGUUCAGAGACCGCCACUAUUUCGGUUCAGCCGUUCCUUCUUCGUUCGAGUGGUUGUGGUUGCUGAGAAAGCGGGUUGGAGCUGAGGUUUUGACUGCAGUCGAUUCGGGUCAAUACGAAAGGAGUCAGUUAGCGAGUUUGGGUUGUGAUUUCAAUGUAUCGAGGUUAUUCCUUUUCAGGAUAUGGAAGACGAAGCUUCAGGAGAGUUAUAUUUAUUUUCUGUUUAUUCGGUCUUUUUGUAUCACCGUAGCUAUUAUUUUUCCCUCACCUUUAUCUUUAUGAAGCUU